GGGGUAACUGAGUUCCCCGAGAACAAAUCUGUGCGGGCUAGGCCCAAAAUAUUCAUACAGUGUUGGGCCGGGUCAUUACAGUUGGUAUCAUAGCCGGGGGUGACUGAGUUCCCCAGGAACAAGUCCGAGCGGGCUAGGCCCAAAGCGGACAAUAUUCACACAGUGUUGGGCCGGGUCGUUACCAAAUCCCUUCAGCUAUUCUUCAACUUCCAAAUUUGAUUCGUUAGCCACUCGAAAUUCACACGAGGCUCCCGGGAUCCCAACCAAUCAUACCAAACAGUCCCAAAAGAUAUUAUGGACUUGCUUGAGGCCUCAAAUCACAUCAAACAACGCUAAAAUCAUUAAUCAACCUCCAAUCCAAGCUUUAUGAACUUUGAACUUUCUCACUUCUACUUCUGUCGUUUAAACCUAUCAAAUCACACCCGAUUGACUUCAAAUUUUGCGCACAAGU
rnacentral:lncRNA from 1 species